GUGAAAAUAAACCUUUCCUCCUUUUAAGUUGAUUUCUCUCAAGUACUUGUUGUAGUUUCAGAAAGUUGACUAGCACACUUUGGUUCUGUUUUAAAUUUCUCAUUGCUGCUUUAACAAAUCACUCCAAAUCUAGUGGUGUAAGACAAUACAAAUUGAUGAUCAUAGAGUCCUAGAGGCCAGAAAUCUUACAUGGGCUAAAAUCAAGGUAUCAGUAGGGUUGGGUUCUUUUCUGGAGGCUUCAGGGGGAAAUAUGCCCCCUUGUCUUUUCCAUCUUGUAGAAGCUGCCUGCAUCUGUAUUCUUUGUCUCAUGGAUGGACUCCUUCCAUCUUCAAAGCAAAUGAUUGACCCCAAAUGUCUACUUAACUGCUCUGAAUCUGGCUCUCCUGCAUCCCUCUUUAUCAUGUAAGGACCCCGUCAUUACAUUGGACCCACAUGGUACUCCAAGCAAACUCUGAAUCAGUGAGACCACUUUUCUUUCAUAUCUCUGAAGAGGACCAGCAGGGCUUUGAGUCACCUGGGGGCAGUUAAAGGACCUAUGGAUUUAGCUUAACUGCAUCUCUAUUGCAUGGAGGGUGUUCAAAUCACACCCUACAAGCCACAUGAGCAAUUACAAACAUUUAUAAAACUUUUUCUCCUUUUUGUUUUUUCUUACAUUGCUGGGAUGGACCCAGGCACACACAUGCUGGGUCAGUGCUCUACCACUGAGCUUCACUCCCAUUGCAGGUUUUAGUUCUAAUGGCAGAUUACUGUUGAACUCAUGUGGGAUGUCAAAAUCUUCUGUGGACUGCAUAUUUAAUCAUAAAACUCGACCUCAAAACAGGGGCAGCUUCUGGCUCUACUAGUCCAGCUAAAAAACAUCUUCCAAGAGGAAGAGUGGAAACUAGAAACCAUGUAAUGAAGACAGAAGAAGAAGGACUGAAGGACAAAGUUUACCUGUUAUCUGUCAGACCAAGAGCUCAAAGCCCUCAUUAUCUCCAGAACAGUUGAUCCUGGAGAUCAGUGUUGUCCUGAAGUUGUAUAGAGGGUUACUCUUGGCUGGCUAAAAGCAAAUAGUGUUUUGCCUUGGGUCUAUAAUCCUUUCAUUUUAUCUUUUUCCAUCUCUUAGUGUUAAAGAGCCUCUCUCAGGGCAUGGCAUCUUUGAAUAUGCCUCUCAAGCCCCAAAAUGCUUAUUAUUGGCAGAAGCACCUCUAAUAGAAGGCAAAAUAAGGAAUAUUAGUAACAUUCAAGAAAAGAUCUGCCUGUCAGACACACACAUGUAACCCAGUGACUUGGGAGGCUGAGGCAGGAGGAUUACAAUGUGAUGUCAGCCUCAGCAGUUUAGUAAAACCCUGUCUCAAUACUAAAAAAAAUA